GAUGAAGAACGUAGCGAAAUGCGAUAAGUAGUGUGAAUUGCAGAAUUCAGUGAAUCAUCGAAUCUUUGAACGCACAUUGCGCCCUUUGGUAUUCCAAAGGGCAUGCCUGUUCGAGCGUCAUUUGUACCCUCAAGCUUUGCUUGGUGUUGGGCGUCUUGUCUCUAGCUUUGCUGGAGACUCGCCUUAAAGUAAUUGGCAGCCGGCCUACUGGUUUCGGAGCGCAGCACAGGUCGCACUCUCUAUCAGCAAAGGUCUAGCAUCCAUUAAGCCUUUUUUUCAACUUUUGACCUCGGAUCAGGUAGGGAUACCCGCUGAACUUAAGCAUAUCAAUAAGCGGAGGA
rnacentral:misc_RNA from 1 species